CGGAGGACGCUGAAGAGCCGCGAGCGCGUGGAGCGUCUGUCAGACGCGUCGCGCGGAGCUCCAGACGCACAGCAUGGCCGGAGGAAAUACUGGAGGACUUUGGGAUUCGUUGAAGAAAGCAGCUUUUGUCAUUGGAUCUGGGCUUUUCUUCCUGGUGGGGUUUAGGAACUCGGUGACGUGGCAUCUGCAGAGGUUUUGGGGAGCGU